rnacentral:rRNA from 1 species
UUACUCCUACGGGACGCAGCAGGGAAUCUUCCACAAUGGGCGAAAGCCUGAUGGAGCAACGCCGCGUGGGUGAAGAAGGUCUUCGGAUCGUAAAACCCUGUUGUUAGAGAAGAAAGUGCGUGAGAGUAACUGUUCACGUUUCGACGGUAUCUAACCAGAAAGCCACGGCUAACUACGUGCCAGCAGCCGCGGUAAUACGUAGGUGGCAAGCGUUAUCCGGAUUUAUUGGGCGUAAAGGGAACGCAGGCGGUCUUUUAAGUCUGAUGUGAAAGCCUUCGGCUUAACCGGAGUAGUGCAUUGGAAAC